UCCAUAACUUCCCCAUCAGCAGGUUCAUAGGGGAGUUUUUAGCAUUUUGGUAGAAAAAAAUAAAUCAGAAAAAACGAAAAAAAGUAAGGCAGCCUCUUAUAUAAUAUACUCAUUCUUGCUCUAAGUGACUAAACGUGUUAACGUUCUGUUGGCCAGACAAAAAAAUAGAAAAGGUAAAAAAAAAUUGUUUUCCUCUCUCUAUCUUUCUCUCGCGAUCGAAACGGCAAAGAUUUGUAUUUGAAAUCAAAGGAUCGGUUCUGUGAGAUGAUGAGAUGAUGAGCGAUGAGUUCGUUGAACCGAACCGGUUCACGUUUCCUUAUGUGCUUAAGGCUUGUGCGAAAACAGGGAAGAUUCAACAAGAUUGUGGAGGAUGCUUUGCUUUGUGGGUGAUGGUUUUGAUGGAUCGUUGUCUUCUCUGAGCUACAUCUUCAGACCAUCGAUAUUAAUGUGUGAGGGUUGGAAGAGAAGAAAGAAACAUUGUGAAAGUGAAUGGUUUGCGUAUGAAGCUAGAACCAUACAAGGAGAUGUUCAGAACUAUUAGCUGUUUUAAUCAUUCUUCACUCUUUAUGUUACAGAAAAUUCUUUCCUUUUGACUCUUUCUGUUACUCGGUUGAAAGAUCUUUCGUUUUGGUUUUGAUUUUGAUUAUUUUUUGGUGUCACGUAGAUUUCGAAAUUGAGCAUGAUUCCGGUGGUAUGCGUGUUGGAAUGGAUUAUACAUAGCAAGCAUUACUGUAAAGAAGUGAAAGCUUCUGUUACGGUUGUGGUUAUUGGUGUUGGGAUCUGUACUGUGACUGAUGUCAAAGUUAAUGCCAAAGGUUUCAUUUGUGAGGUUUCAUUUGUGCGUGCACUGCUGUUUUCUCCACAUCUCUCCAGCAGAUUUCAAUAGGUUCUCUGCAAAAGAAGUACUCAGUAGGAUCUUUUGAAUUGCUGGGCAAAACAGCUCCAAUCCAAGCCAUUUCACUUCUCAUCUUUGGCCCUUUUGUUGACUAUUUCUUGAGCGGAAAAUUCAUAUCUACUUACAAAAUGACUUAUGGUGCCAUCAUAAGUAACUUUUUUCAACUUCUCUAAGAUUCAGAUGACUCAAACGUAAACACAAAAUCCUUACUCUUAUCUCUAAAUUUUGCAAUUCUGCAUUCUUCUCUCUUGUGCAUUAGCUGUUUUCUGUAACAUAAGCUGUUUGACAUUAUAGGUUACAGUUUCAAACAUUUGUCUUACUAGUUUAGUUUUGUAAUUGUAGAUUUACUCAGAUUUUUGUCUUUUUUUCUUCA